rnacentral:rRNA from 1 species
CUACGGGGGGCACCAGUGAGGAAUAUUGCACAAUGGGGGGAACCCUGAUGCAGCAACGCCGCGUGGAGGAUGACGCACUUCGGUGUGUAAACUCCUUUUAUAUGUCAAGAAAAUGACGGUAGCAUAUGAAUAAGCACCGGCUAACUCCGUGCCAGCAGCCGCGGUAAUACGGAGGGUGCAAGCGUUACUCGGAAUCACUGGGCGUAAAGGACGCGUAGGCGGGUUGGAAAGUCAGGUGUGAAAUCCUACAGCUUAACUGUAGAACUGCACUUGAAACUUCUAAUCUAGAGGAUGGGAGGGGGAGAUGGAAUUAGUGGUGUAGGGGUAAAAUCCGUAGAUAUCACUAGGAAUACCUAAAGCGAAGGCGAUCUCCUGGAACAUUACUGACGCUAAGGCGUGAAAGCGUGGGGAGCAAACAGGAUUAGAUACCCUCGUAGUC